AAGGUCUCCUGCAAGAUUACAGAUCUUCAUCUCUCAAAUUCAUUGAUGUGUGAACAUAACAACAGCUUGUUCAUGAUCAGUUUGGCUUGUGAAUAGAUACAGUAAUAGUAAAUCAUUAGGGACUGGAUUCUCACCCAUGAUUCAUGUUGAUGGUUUGAGGACUUUCGCUUUGUCAGUUUUAAAUCAUUGCAACUUUUACAACUUAUUAACCUGAAAGUGCACUACAAUGUAUAUGAUGUCCAUGGUAAUAAUGAGUGACUUUCUCAUCAUCUACGAAGAGGAUGCUUGGAAAAUAGUUGCACUGGUUUGAGUGUAUUUGAUCAUGUAGGAUAUAUACAUAUACACCCAAGAACUCAUCCUUGUAUUCUUGAAAAAAAAAAACUUGCAACCUUGGUUUCACUUCCACCACACCAUAUGGAUCCAACUUCAUUCACCACUGUCAUUGAAAGGAUAUAAUACACCAUCUUGUUGACAAGGAUUAACCAAGUGCUGAAAUACAAGAGUAUGGUACCGGUUUACCAAGAAAACAGACAUAGCCUGGCUUGUAAGAACCUGUGGAUGCUUUUAUUGGGACCAGAGAGAGGACAUUUGAGAGAUGCUAUCAACUACCAAUAUCUACCUUUAAAGAGAAAAGGCUACAAGGGGCAAACAAAUCAAUGGCUACGUGAGGAACGGAAAAACAAAGGAUAGGAGAAGGAAGAGAGUCUGCUUAUAGAGGAGGACAAGAAUCUGGAUGAACUUUAAAAUGAAGUAACACAGACCAGGCUGAGCUAGCCAAUCAAUUGUGUAAAUACGUAAUACCAGGCAAUGGCAGGCAUGAAGUGAAGACAGACAUGAUGGAGGUGGUGAAGAAGGCUACUAAACCUGUCAACUCAUUCAGUUAUACAG